CGCUAUCCUCCUACGGGAGGCAGCAGUGGGGGAAUAUUGCACAAUGGGCGCAAGCCUGAUGCAGCCAUGCCGCGUGUAUGAAGAAGGCCUUCGGGUUGUAAAGUACUUUCAGCAGUGAGGAAGGCAGGUACGUUAAUAGCGUGCUUGUUUGACGUUAGCUGCAGAAGAAGCACCGGCUAACUCCGUGCCAGCAGCCGCGGUAAUACGGAGGGUGCGAGCGUUAAUCGGAAUUACUGGGCGUAAAGCGCAUGCAGGUGGUUUGUUAAGUCAGAUGUGAAAGCCCCGGGCUCAACCUCGGAAUUGCAUUUGAAACUGGCAGACUAGAGUACUGUAGAGGGGGUAGAAUUUCAGGUGUAGCGGUGAAAUGCGUAGAGAUCUGAAGGAAUACCGGUGGCGAAGGCGGCCCCCUGGACAGAUACUGACACUCAGAUGCGAAAGCGUGGGGAGCAAACAGGAUUAGAUACCCUGGUAG
rnacentral:rRNA from 1 species